UAGAAGUCUUCCUGUGUAUGCCCUAUCUUUCCACAGUAAGUACAAGUCACUUUUGCAUUGUAUUUCUUCCUUCCUUUAAACUUCUGUUGAGGCUUGUUGAACUUCUGUCCAAAAUUGUUAUAUUUAGGUGCUAUUACAGCUCUUCUUUGUACUUGAUUCCUAUUUUUCUGAAAAUUUCUCCCCUGUCCUGUCGCUAUGAAGGCUGCAAAAUCAGCCAAGAGCUGAGCAUUAGGCUGUUUAGUUUCUCUAGCUACCAUGAAUGAAAGUAAAUUAGAGUUGAGAGUUCCAUUUGCAUAAACUUCUCUUUGAUUUUCAUCUUGCAAGAGGAGUGAAUAAGCAACAUCUAUGCUAGGCAAAGGGUUCAUCAUAAGUAUGUUCCCUCUUGCUUGUGCAUAGGUAUCAUUCAAUCCCAUUAGGAAUUGAAUCAACUGAUCUUUAAGAGACUUGGUCAGUUUUGCUUUUCCUUCACAAACACACACACAUGAACAACAUAUGAUCACAUUUAGAGCAUCCAAUUCAUCCCAUAGUCGUUUGAGCUUAGUGAAAUAUCUUGCAAUGUCACUAUUUCCAGAACUAAUCCUGAUAACUCUUUUUGCAGGUGAUAGAGCUUUGCUCUAUUUGAUCUUCCAAAUCUCUGCUCUAAACUAUCCCAAAGUUCCUUUGCAGUUUUGGAGUAUAUCACACUGUCUCCAAUAUCCUUAGAGAGUGCAUUUAAGAUCCAAGAUAUGACUAUGUCAUUGACACAACUCCAUUGCUCAUGAUCUGGAGAUGUCAAACCUGGAGAUUGACACGCUCCAUUGAUGAAGCCAAGUUUCUUCUUGGCUGAUAAUGAUAACAAGAUAGAUCUCCUCUGUCCUGGAUAUCCUCUCCCAUCAAACACUGUAUUGACUAGUGUCAUCCCAGGAGAAUCAGAGUUAUUGAGGUGGUAAG
rnacentral:lncRNA from 1 species